rnacentral:lncRNA from 1 species
AGCAGCUAUGUUCCUGUCUUGGUGCAGCAGAAAAGAAUCCGACUAGGAACCAUGAGGUUGCAGGUUCGAUCCCUGGCCUUGCCCAGUGGAUUAAGGAUCCGGCGUUGCUGUGAGCUGUGGUGUAGGUUGCAGACACUGCUCGGAUCUGGCGUUGCUGUGGCUCUGGCGUAGGCUGGCAGCUUCAGCUCCAAUUUGACCCCUAGCCUGGGAACUUCCAUAUGCCAUGGGUAUGGCCCUAAAAAGACUAAAAGACAAAAAAAAAAAAAAAAAAUUAGAAAAAAUUACUUUGUUAGUCUUCAUUGCUUAAAGUACAAGGUACAGAUAUUCCAAAGGAAAAUUAUACUAUAUCAAUGAAAAUAUUAACCUGUUGUGUUAAAACAUACAGAGAUGCCUAGAAUAUUCAAAGGUUAGGCCAAAGGUGAUUUUGGUUAGUUGUCAGGGGAGAUGGAAGAGCAUAUUUGAGUUAGAAUUUGAGAGAAGGGAAGGACCUGAAUUGUGUAAGUGGCGGCAGGGGUGGGAAGACGGGAAGUCUUCCAAGAGACAGUGAGGGUACAGAAGCAGAAAUGAGGAAGCAUUUUGGAGACCAAGGAAGGAUAUUAUUUUGCCGAAGUGUAAGAACUAUUCUGGGGAUUAUGGGUUUAAAAUUAAUUCUCACUUUCAUGGGACAAAAUGAAAGUCAAGGGAAAUUUUCAACUGCCUAAAAGAAUCACCUAGAAUCAUCAUAUCACCUAGAAUCAUCAUAGGUUCCUGAAUAAAACAAUAAUGGGCUAUUUGUUCUUUAUUGUUUGAAAACACAGCUGAGAGCAGAAUGGGAGAUAGCACUAGGAGGGGCUGUUAGUUAGGACUGCAUCACAAUGACCCUGUAAAUGGAAAAGAAAUGUUCAGUUUCAAACUCACCGUCCUGAAGAACUAGAGAGGACUUAAGCACUGAUUAGCUAAGAAGACAAUGGAAGAAAGAUCAUUGUAAGACCUCAGAUGUUGGUAAUGGGCUCAGGUACUUGAUACCGAGUCAAAACCAGAAGUGGUGAUGUGACAGUUUUAAGUCAUUAAAUUUGGUACCAAUGAAAAUAUUAACCCAUUAAUAGUAUCAAUGAAAAUAUUAACCAAUGAAAAUAUUAACCUGUUAAUAAUAUCAAUGAAAAUAUUAACCAAUAGUAUCAAUGAAAGUAUUAAAUAUCAACUACUGAGUUUCCUCUUAAUAUAUAAUCCUAUGCUGGACACUUCAGAAGGUAAAAAAGAAAGGGAAGACAUGGCUUAAGUAUAAGGAGUGAGGAACAUUGAUCUAAAUUAGGGGCCAAUUGGAGUAUAAAAAAAUUACAGAAGAAAUCUCUGGGCAGCAAAGAAAACAACCAACAGAGUGAAAAGGCAGCCUACAGAAUGGGAGAAAAUAUUUAUAAACCACAUGUUUGAUAAGGGUUUAAUAUCUAGAAUACAUUUUUUAAAAAAACUAUUACAACACAACAGCAAAACCAAAUAAUUAGGUUUGAAAAUGGGCAAAGGACUUGAACAGAUAUUUCUCCAAAGAAGAUGGACAAAUGGCUGGUAGUAAGCAUGCGAAAAUCUGCUCAACAUCACUAAUCAUCAGGGAAAUGAAAAUCAAAACCACAAUGAGAUAAUUACCUCACAUUCAUUAGGAUGAUCACUAUCUAAACAAAACAGGAGUUCCCUAGUGGCUCAGCAGGCUAAGGAUCCAGCGUUGUCACUGCUGUGACUUGGGUCACUGCUGUGGCACGAGUUGGAUCCUUGGCCUGGGAACUUUCACAUGCUGUAACUACCACCAAUAAAUAAAUAAAUUCAUACAUAUAUACAUAUAUAAAACAAAAUAGAAAUUAACAAGUGUCAAUGAGGCUAUGGAGAAACUGGAAAAUUUGUGCGCUACUGGUAGGAGUAGAAGAUGGUGCAACUGUGUGGAAAAUAGUGUGGAGAUUCCUCAAAAAAAAUUUCUGUAUGAUCUAGAAAUCCCACUUCUGGAUAUAUAUGCAAAAGAAUCAAAAACUAGAUCUUGAAGAGAUAUUUGCACACCCGUAUUCAUUGCAGCAUUAUCCACAAGCUAAAAGAUGAAAGCUACGUAAAUGUCCAUUGGCAAAUGAAUGGAUAAAGAAAAUGCGGUGUGUGUGUGUGUGGUAUGUGUGUGUGUGUGUGUGUGUGUGUAAUUUAGCCAUUAAAAAAAUGAAGGAAAUCCUGUCAUAUGCCACACCAUAGAUGAAGCUUGAGGUUAUUAUGCUAAGUGAAAUAAGCCAGUCACAAAAAUACAAAUACUGCAUAAUUCUUAUAAUACUUAUAUGAGGGAGGUGUUUAAAGCUGUCAAACUUACAGAAAAAGAAAGUACACUAGUGGUUGCCAGGGGCUGGGAGAGGAGCAAAGGGCCAUUGUUCAAUGAGAACAGACUCAGUUUUACAAGAUGAGAGCAUUCCAG